UUCUUAUAGUAUCUCUUCUAAUGCCCGUCUUUUACCAUCGUGAAAGCACUGACCUAUGUCCUUCGCUGGGUCAAUCUUGGAAAACUUUGCCUUACCUCGUUUGCCCUUACCCUUACCCUUCUUAUGGGACUUUUCAGCCUUCCUUAUCCUUUUAGUCUCAUAAACGUAGAGAAUUAGUUUCUCUUUCUUGAUAGUGCUCUC
rnacentral:lncRNA from 1 species